rnacentral:misc_RNA from 1 species
UGCCCUGUUCGCCACCUUGCA